CUUACGCAGCAGAAAUGCAGGCAGCUACAGACCACAGGGGUGGCUUGCAGCACCAGCCAAGCAGCUCUGUGCUGCACAGCUCAGGGAAAACUGAACCCAAAACAAAGAGGAAAACAGACUUGCUGGUAGCACAACAAAAAUCCCCACAGCCACAUCCAGCUGGUGGGGGAGGGAACCCUGCAAAGCUGCACAGCGCAGGGCUGGAUGGAAAGGUGGAGCAGUGGGCAGCGCUGGGCUCGCAGCAACAGUUAUUCAGUAAACAACACCAGGAUUUUUGGCUGAGCAAACAGCCAAGAGAAGGAAAGAAGCGAGGCUGUGCCACACGGAUGGCGGGGCAGAACUAAAGGUCUUCCAGGUCGGCAGGAAGGAAACUGUUUCAAUGACUUUUCUCUAGAACAACAAUGCUGACUAUAGGAAAAGGCACAGGCUGCUGCGAACCAACAGUUAAGCAGGAAAAUAACCACAUCAGAGGCAAAAGGAAAAUUUUGAAGUUCAGCAUGCUAGACCAGGGGAGGCUGGCCAACAACCACCCUGGAGAGCUAGGAGCCAGCAUAUUGAAUUGCAAGUCUGACUGCAAGGAUUUCCAGCAGAGCCAUGAACUCACGCCAAGUCAGAAGGCUAGGAGAAUGUUUUCCAGGCAAAGCACAGGUAGAUUCAGCUUGAAAGUCCAGGCUGUGAUGGGUUUCUAUCCACCAGAACUGUGGGUGUCUGCAGCGGCUUCCAUAUAGGAAUAGCACAGGCCAAACCCUGCUGUUUAUGAAAGGGAUUACGUCAGCUGGUGGCUUCAGAUAAUAAGCGACCACAUUUGAGGAUCCAUGAAUUUCCUCCUGAUCUGUUUUCUGUGAUCCAAGGAGAGGCUGUUCCUGCUUUCAUGUUCAGAGCUGACUAAUUUGGAGAACACCUGCAAAGACACCAAAGCAAUAUCCUUAUCUGCUAAGGCAUUCCUGCAGGCUCCUAGGCUGUAACAAGGGUGUUGUGCAAAAACAGUGCAAGAGGUCCUGAGCAACAGCUGGCAAGUGUCAGGUACGUAGGAAAGGAGAGCUCCAGCCUUCCUGUGGUUUCUGCACAUGGAAAGCACUCCAUGCUCAGAGUGAGUCAUUUAUUACUGGUGCUGCAAAGCCCUAGACAAAACAGAUGAAAUCAGCUGGCAGUGGGCAAGCCAAGAAAACAUCUGCUUGUGCCCAUGUGGUGUGCAAAACCAGGGCUGCCAUGUUCUAACACCUUAAUGGUAUGAAAUUAGAGCAAAACCACAUGGUGAAUAGUUAAACGGUAGUUUUAUCUCAAGGAGAAAUUAAAAUCUAUCUAUGGCUCUUGUUGUGUACAGAAGGAAUCUCUUUGUAAGUUGCUGGUAAUUAAGGAAAACACACUUGCAUUAAAAAGCCACUUUGGUUUUGAUUUUGAGAUUUUAUUAUUAUGUUGCAAGUUUAAUUGAGAGGGAAGUGCUGGCCUUCUGUGCCCUUUGCAUCUCGCUGUGCCUGUUGGAUCUGGGGAUGAGCCUGACGCUUUGUUUCACACUCAGACGAAGCCAUGGCCAAGGCGAACUCAGCUCGGGCUGUGGGCUGCUGCCACCACAGGGCUGAACCAGAGGGCCAGGAGGUGAGAGAGAUCCCUCACGGGGUGUUGGCACUGCCCGAACCAGCUCACCUCUCCUCUCUGCCCAGGCAGAUACAGGGACUGCCUUCCUCAUGGUUGUUUUUAUAUGAUCAGGCAACAAAUUAUUUUUAUUCUACCAAAAUUAAGCCUGUUCCUCGAAGCUAUAACAAGGGCAGCCGCAACCAAAGGUGACGGGGAGUGCCGCUGGUGGAAACAGCCGUCAGCAGUUUGCAUGACCCAGGAGUGCUGUAGACUAGGGGGAAGGUGAGGAAGGCCUCGUAGCACCUCCUGUGGUCUAUUGUUCAGGACUUCAAAGAGCCCAGGGAUCUGUAGUCACUGCUAAUAGCUGUUAUCUUCUGGUAACAGUAAUUAUGAACUGAAGGAGACUCAGAGACAGUGAUUGUAAAGGGCCAAUAAAGCUACACCUUUUCUGCUUGACUUACUUGAUUGCCCCUGUUUUCCUUGUAUCCACCCCUCUAGGAUUUGUCUUUUAAUCCUUCCAAGCUGAUCUAUACACCUAUGAAUGCUCACUGUCAAUAAUACAGUUAUUACUGCUGCCUGACUAUCCUGAAGCUUCUAUCAAUCAUGCAUUAAUCUUACACGCAGCUCCUAGGACUCCAUCUCAAAUGCAAAUGUAAGAUGUAAAGAACCGGGAGAAGAAAAUUCUAAAGCCAGUAAAAGCUGAUUUACACUUUCCCAGUUCAGCUUCCUAUUAAUUUUGCCAUACUGGAUUUUGGAGUAGUAACUCAUCAGUCGGCAUUUGUUGAAAGUCCACAUACUACUUAUGCAUAAGCAUAUAAACUUCACACCUGUGAGCAAAGGGACAUGGAAACAGUCACAGCAAGUUGGAUCAGUGGUGCAUCCCUCCAGUGUGUGCCAAGGGAAAAGUGUCCAAGGGGGCUGCAGACGACUCCUGCCGGUCCUCCCCAUGUCUGCUGACACUUGGUUCAAGCACUUCCUAAUGCUGGGUUUGCAUUUGAAUUAGUGACCACCGGGUAUUUUCUUCCAUAAAUCCAAUGAAUCGUGUUUUGAACCCUUGUAAAAUUUUAGCAUCCUCUACGCCACACAGCAGUGAGUUUCACAGCUUAACUACAAAUUUUGUAAAUGAGUCCUCAUUUGUUGCAGUGAGUGGGCCUCUGCUACUUUCACCUGAUGUCCCCAAAACUCAUACGUGAAGAGAGAGAGGAUAACCAUUCCCUCUUUGUCACAGCUCUCACGAUCGAGCAGACUUCUAUAAUAUUUUUCCCUGGACCAUUUAUUUUUGCAGUCUGGAAAAAAAAACCAAAACAAAAUAAAAA